rnacentral:misc_RNA from 1 species
GAUGAAGAACGCAGCGAAAUGGGAUAAGUAAUGUGAAUUGCAGAAUUCAGUGAAUCAUCGAAUCUUUGAACGCACAUUGCGCCCGCCAGUAUUCUGGCGGGCAUGCCUGUUCGAGCGUCAUUACAACCCUCAGGCCCCCGGGCCUGGCGUUGGGGAUCGGCGGAAGCCCCCUGCGGGCACAACGCCGUCCCCCAAAUACAGUGGCGGUCCCGCCGCAGCUUCCAUUGCGUAGUAGCUAACACCUCGCAACUGGAGAGCGGCGCGGCCACGCCGUAAAACACCCAACUUCUGAAUGUUGACCUCGAAUCAGGCAGGAAUACCCGCUGAACUUAAGCAUAUCAAUAAGCGGAGGA